CCCUUAGAUGUCCUGGGCCGCACGCGCGUUACACUGAUGCAUUCAACGAGCUUAUAACCUUGGCCGAGAGGCCUGGGCAAUCUUGUUAACGUGCAUCGUGAUAGGGAUAGAUUAUUGAAAUUAUUAAUCUUGAACGAGGAAUUCCUAGUAAACGCAGAUCAUCAAUCUGCAUUGAUUACGUCCCUGCCCUUUGUACACACCGCCCGUCGCUGCAACUGAUUGGGUGACCUGGUGAACAUCUUGGACCGGCCCACUCAAUUUCGAGAGGACUGGAAAAGGCCGUAAAUCAGGUACAUCUAGAAAUUGCAAAAGUCGUAACA
rnacentral:rRNA from 1 species